rfam:Glycine soja cultivar W05 scaffold3159_24, whole genome shotgun sequence.
CCGUUAAGCAAUGACGUGACAAAUUAAGUGCCACAUCAUCAUGCCUUAUCAUCGACACGCCAUUGUCACGCCAUUGAAGGGAUGACAUGUCAAUGAGGUGUCCGUGACUAGGUGUGAUGAUGUGACACUCCAUUUGUCACGUCAUUACUUAAUAGAA